rnacentral:rRNA from 1 species
UACAGAGGCCCCAAGCGUUACUGAGAAUCACUGGGUUUAAAGGGUGCGUAGGUGGCGCGUUAAGUCCGUUGUGAAAGCCCUGGGCUCAACCCAGGAACUGCUUCGGAUACUGGCGCGCUUGAGGCUAGUAGGGGUCACUGGAACUGACGGUGGAGCGGUGAAAUGCGUAGAUAUCGGAAGGAACGCCGGUGGCGAAAGCGAGCUGCUGGAUCCCUCCUGACGCUGAGGCGCGAAAGCCAGGGGAGCGAACGGG